AUUGAACGCUGGCGGCAUGCUUUACACAUGCAAGUCGAACGGCAGCGCGGGCUUCGGCCUGGCGGCGAGUGGCGAACGGGUGAGUAAUGCAUCGGAACGUGCCCAGUAGUGGGGGAUAGCCCGGCGAAAGCCGGAUUAAUACCGCAUACGACCUGAGGGUGAAAGCGGGUGACCGAAAGGCCUCGCGCUAUUGUAGCGGCCGAUGUCGGAUUAGCUAGUUGGUGGGGUAAAGGCUUACCAAGGCGACGAUCCGUAGCUGGUCUGAGAGGACGACCAGCCACACUAGGACUGAGACACGGCCCAGACUCCUACGGGAGGCAGCAGUGGGGAAUUUUGGACAAUGGGGGCAACCCUGAUCCAGCCAUGCCGCGUGCGGGAAGAAGGCCUUCGGGUUGUAAACCGCUUUUGUUCGGGAAGAAAUCCUCUGGGCUAAUACCCCGGGGGGAUGACGGUACCGGAAGAAUAAGCACCGGCUAACUACGUG
rnacentral:rRNA from 1 species